rnacentral:rRNA from 1 species
UACGAAGGGGGCUAGCGUUGCUCGGAAUGACUGGGCGUAAAGGGCGCGUAGGCGGUUUGUACAGUCAGGUGUGAAAUUCCCGGGCUCAACCUGGGGGCUGCAUUUGAUACGUAUGGACUGGAGUGGGGAAGAGGGUCGUGGAAUUCCCAGUGUAGAGGUGAAAUUCGUAGAUAUUGGGAAGAACACCGGUGGCGAAGGCGGCGACCUGGUCCUUGACUGACGCUGAGGCGCGAAAGCGUGGGGAGCAAACAGG